UGGGGAUUGGCCAAGUCGGUUAAGGCAUCGGACUUUGACUCCGUGAUCACAGGUUCGAGUCCUGUAUCCCCAGCCA
rnacentral:tRNA from 1 species